rnacentral:rRNA from 1 species
GACGAACGCUGGCGGCGUGCUUAACACAUGCAAGUCGAACGGAAAGGCCCUGCUUUUGUGGGGUGCUCGAGUGGCGAACGGGUGAGUAACACGUGAGUAACCUGCCCUUGACUUUGGGAUAACUUCAGGAAACUGGGGCUAAUACCGGAUAGGAGCUCCUGCUGCAUGGUGGGGGUUGGAAAGUUUCGGCGGUUGGGGAUGGACUCGCGGCUUAUCAGCUUGUUGGUGGGGUAGUGGCUUACCAAGGCUUUGCAGGGUAGCCGGCCUGAGCGGGUGACCGGCCACAUUAGGACUGAGGUACGGCCCAGACUCCUACGGGAGGCAGCAGUGGGGAAUAUUGCACAAUGGGCGGAAGCCUGAGGCAGCAACGCCGCGUGCGGGAUGACGGCCUUCGGGUUGUAAACCGCUUUCGCCUGUGACGAAGCGUGAGUGACGGUAAUGGGUAAAGAAGCACCGGCUAACUACGUG